rnacentral:rRNA from 1 species
CACGUAGGGCGCAAGCGUUGUCCGGAAUUAUUGGGCGUAAAGAGCUCGUAGGCGGUUUGUCGCGUCUGCUGUGAAAACCUAGGGCUUAACCCUGGGCCUGCAGUGGGUACGGGCAGACUAGAGUGCGGUAGGGGAGACUGGAAUUCCUGGUGUAGCGGUGAAAUGCGCAGAUAUCAGGAGGAACACCGGUGGCGAAGGCGGGUCUCUGGGCCGUAACUGACGCUGAGGAGCGAAAGCAUGGGGAGCGAACAGG